AGUGAACGCUGGCGGUAGGCCUAACACAUGCAAGUCGAUCGGCAGCACAGAGGAGCUUGCUCCUUGGGUGGCGAGUGGCGGACGGGUGAGGAAUACAUCGGAAUCUACUCUGUCGUGGGGGAUAACGUAGGGAAACUUACGCUAAUACCGCAUACGACCUACGGGUGAAAGCAGGGGAUCUUCGGACCUUGCGCGAUUGAAUGAGCCGAUGUCGGAUUAGCUAGUUGGCGGGGUAAAGGCCCACCAAGGCGACGAUCCGUAGCUGGUCUGAGGGGAUGCUCAGCCACACUGCAACUGAGACACGGUCCAGACUCCUACGGGAGGCAGCAGUGGGGAAUGUGGGACAAUGGGCGAAAGCCUGAUCCAGCCAUACCGCGUGGGUGAAGCAGGCCGUCGGGUUGUAAAGCCCUUUUGUUGGGAAAGAAAUCCAUCUGGUUAAUACCCGGGUGGGAUGACGGUACCCAAAGAAUAAGCACCGGCUAACUACGUGCCAGCCGCCGCUGUAA
rnacentral:rRNA from 1 species